rnacentral:lncRNA from 1 species
GCCAACACGUCGAACACAGUGGUGUCAGGUAAUCUCAUCAUUGGGUGUUCAGAUGUGUAUGCUUUGAUGGACCCCGGUGCUUCUCAUUCCUUUAUUGCUUCGAGAGCCAUAGAGCGAUUGGGUUUGAUCAGUUCUGAGUUAGAGUAUCCUCUCUGGGUCAGUGGACCUAGAUGUGACCCAUCAGUGGCAGUGUCAGUCUGUCGUUUCAGUCCAGUGUUUAUCGAAGGUAGAUACCUUCCAGCUGACCUUGUGGUUCUAGAUUUGACGGAUUUUGAUGUCAUUCUAGGGAUGGAUUGGUUAUCUACAUAUAGUGCUACGUUGGACUGUCG